GCUGGCGGCACGUCCAGAGCCGGCCCUAAAACGAUUUGUUCUGUUCCUGCAGGUGCGCAACUACGUCACAAGAGUUUCAAGUGGUUCAUCGGACGUCGGAUGCUCUUUUGCACGGAUGGCUUCGACGGUGUGGCAGCUCUGCUGAAAAACGUGGAACUUUUUCCAGUUCUUCUUGACUUCGGUUCGCGUCACAAGGUGGUGCUCUGAUCAACAAGCGCCGUCAUCGUCCCCAUAAAAACGCAUCGCUUGCAAGCAGCAAGCGCAGUUGGCGGCACGUCCAGAGCCGGCCCUAAAACGACUUGUUCUGUUCCUGCAGGUUUCAAUGCCGGUGUUCCGACCGCAGCUGGAGUUCCCUCCUGGACACUGGGGGUGCAUGAUCUGGCACGAGAACUGGGCGCUGCGCUUCUGGAAAGUCCCCAUAAGUCACGUGGUGUCUCAGACCCAGUCACGAAGCUAGAGCUUUGCUCAGACGACCUCAAAGCAACACGUGCUGAUCUCCUUGAGGGCGAAUGGGCCACGGGUCGAGACAUGGCAGAGGCAUUCGGCUUCUUCAUUGUCUUCUGUUACGGGCAACGUACUCUGUCACUGCAUUCACGACAUAGCACAAGUCAUCUUCGUCGCUUGGCGCGUGUUCACAUACAGGCUGGAGAAUAAAAAAAUACCAGCGGA